GCCAGUCGCGUUUCACUUUGAAAAAAUUUAGCAAGCUUUCACCUUCUUCCUCCCUUCUUCGAUCUUCAAUGGGAUGCCAAAGAAAAAUUUCGAUCUUCGAUCUUCUUCGAUGGACUACCAGUAAUCUUGUCCCGCUCCUCAGCUCUCUUCUUUAUUCACCUUCCCCCUUCUUCUUCCCCUCUGCGUUUUAAAACCUGGUCCAACUACCAGCCUGCCGUAAUUUUUGCAGACCUAGCUUGCCGGGAGUUUACAAGCAGACCUAGCACGACGGCGCCGCUCCCUUCUCUUGUCGAGAUUUUUAGAAUUAAGUUUAGGAAAUUAGGGUUUGUGAAUUUGAAUUUGGGGAUUUUGGAGUUAGGGCUUUUCGUAUUGGCGGCAGAGCACCACUCGGAACCACUCCACAGCAGCGGCAUGAGUGACUGGAGACAACCCGCAGUGGUGGUCGACGGAGCAAGCUAGGUCUAUUACAGAUUCUGAGCAUGAAGCAAAGUGGUUGUGCGUCAAAGAGACCAGCUAUAGUUUUCCUGCACAGCACGCACAAGUGCAAAGAAUGGUUACGGCCUUUGCUUGAGGUUGCAUUGCACAUUGAGUACAACCACAAUAUGUUGACAUCACAACAGAAAGGGAACCCAAAUUAAGGAAGUAAUUGUUGGAUGGUAUUCAACCGGAUUUGGUGUUACGAGAGGUUCCGCUUUGAUCCAUGAAUUCUACUCUAGAGAGGUUGCAAAUCCUUUCCAUGUACUAGUGGACACUACAUUCAGAAAUGGAGAGGCAACCAUAAAAGCCUUUGUCUUUGUUAAUUUAUCUCUUCGAGACCAGUCACUUGCUGCUCAAUUUCAGAAAAUUUCCUGCAGAACUUCGAAUGUCAGAAGCAGAGAGGGUUGAAUGUAGGCACUUAACCCUAGUUCUCUUGAUUAAUUAACCCUGCUAAAUUUGAAAAAUACUCCAGUAGUCUUGUGGGUCCUAUAUUUUAAGCUCUUAAUUGCUUCUUGCGGGUUAGAUUGUUGCAUCUACAUGGGUCUUAUCAACUUGAUCAACUCAUCAUGUGUGAGGUAGGACUUUGGUCUGUUUCUCUUCUCUAAUAUCAGGCCCACUGAUCUUAUUGAUGUUCUCUUAUGCUGCUGUAGUGCUUUCCUCAGUUAAUUCUUUGGCUCAAUGUCUCUAUAGUCUUCCUUAAUUGUGUUCACUCGAUUCAAACUCUUUUUUUUUUUACUAUUGUUGUUAUGGCAAUAGCUAUUAUUUGAGAUUCAUGGC